rfam:Camelus ferus unplaced genomic scaffold scaffold591, whole genome shotgun sequence.
GAGGGUAUAGCUCAAGUGUUAGAACACAUGCUUAGCAUGCUUGAGGUCCUAGGUUCAAUCCCCAGUACCUCCU